rnacentral:rRNA from 1 species
CCUACGGGUGGCAGCAGUGGGGAAUAUUGCACAAUGGGCGCAAGCCUGAUGCAGCCAUGCCGCGUGUGUGAAGAAGGCCUUCGGGUUGUAAAGCACUUUCAGCGGGGAGGAAGGCGGUGAGGUUAAUAGCCUCAUCGAUUGACGUUACCCGCAGAAGAAGCACCGGCUAACUCCGUGCCAGCAGCCGCGGUAAUACGGAGGGUGCAAGCGUUAAUCGGAAUUACUGGGCGUAAAGCGCACGCAGGCGGUCUGUCAAGUCGGAUGUGAAAUCCCCGGGCUCAACCUGGGAACUGCAUUCGAAACUGGCAGGCUAGAGUCUUGUAGAGGGGGGUAGAAUUCCAGGUGUAGCGGUGAAAUGCGUAGAGAUCUGGAGGAAUACCGGUGGCGAAGGCGGCCCCCUGGACAAAGACUGACGCUCAGGUGCGAAAGCGUGGGGAGCAAACAGGAGUAGAUACCCUAGUAGUC